GCCUUUGUGGUGUAGUGGUCAGCACGCUCGACGCGUAUUCGAGAGGUCCGUGGUUCGAGUCCCGGUGAGGGCA
rnacentral:tRNA from 1 species